CUAGUUGGUGGGGUAAAGGCCUACCAAGGCAACGAUCCGUAGCGGGUCUGAGAGGAUGAUCCGCCACACUGGAACUGAGACACGGUCCAGACUCCUACGGGAGGCAGCAGUGGGGAAUUUUGGACAAUGGGCGCAAGCCUGAUCCAGCCAUGCCGCGUGAGUGAAGAAGGCCUUCGGGUUGUAAAGCUCUUUCGGCCGGGAAGAAAUCGCAUGGGCGAAUACCCUGUGUGGAUGACGGUACCGGCAUAAGAAGCACCGGCUAACUACGUGCCAGCAGCCGCGGUAAUACGUAGGGUGCGAGCGUUAAUCGGAAUUACUGGGCGUAAAGCGUGCGCAGGCGGUUUGGUAAGUCAGAUGUGAAAGCCCCGGGCUCAACCUGGGAACGGCAUUUGAGACUGCCAAGCUGGAGUAUGGCAGAGGGGGGUGGAAUUCCACGUGUAGCAGUGAAAUGCGUAGAGAUGUGGAGGAACACCGAUGGCGAAGGCAGCCCCCUGGGCCAUGACUGACGCUCAUGCACGAAAGCGUGGGGAGCAAACAGGAUUAGAUACCCUGGUAGUCCACGCCCUAAACGAUGUCAACUAGGUGUUGGGAGGGUUAAACCUUUUA
rnacentral:rRNA from 1 species